GAGGAAUAUUUGGCAAUGGACGACAGUCCGAACCAGCCAAGUAGCGCGCAGGAUGACGGCCCUAUGGGCAGUAAACUGAUUUUAUAUGGCAAUAAAAGCUGUCACGCGUGGUAUUGUGUAGGUACCGUAUGAAUGAGGAACGGCUAAUUACGUGCCAGCAGCCGCGGUAAUACGGAAGGUCCGGGCGUUAUCCGGAUUUAUUGGGUUUAAAGGGAGCGUAGGCUGCCGGUUAAGUGUGUUGUGAAAUGCAGGCGCUCAACGUCUGCCUUGCAGCGCAUACUGUCCGGCUUGAGUACGCACAACGUUGGCGGAAUUCGUCGUGUAGCGGUGAAAUGCUUAGAUAUGACGAAGAACUCCGAUUGCGAAGGCAGCUGACGGGAGCGUUACUGACGCUGAAGCUCGAAAGUGCGGGUAUCGAACA
rnacentral:rRNA from 1 species